rnacentral:lncRNA from 1 species
CUGGCGGGCACACAGUGCAAUGUGAAAGCAGGUGUGCGUGCACACCCACACCCGCAUGCCCACACAUCCAUACAGUCCACACCAUCACACACACACACCCACACACAUCCAUACAGUCCAUACCAUCACACACACCCGCACACAUCCAUACAGUCCACACCAUCACACACACACCCGCACACAUCCAUACAGUCCACACCGUCUCACACACACACCCGCACACAUCCAUACAGUCCACACCGUCUCACACACACACCUGCACACAUCCAUACAGUCCACACCAUAACACACACACAUCCAUAUAGUCCACACCAUCAUACACACACACAUCUCUACAGUCCACACCAUCACAUGCACACACACAUCUAUAUGGUCUACACCGUCACACACACACACACAUCUAUACAGUCCACACCGUCACAUAUCUGUACAGUCCACACCGUCACACACACACGCCCACACCCGCAUGCCACACAUCCAUACAGUCCACAUUCACGUAUGCCCAUAUGCAUCCAUUCACACGUGUGUACACAUGCUCACACACACACAUUCAUAGACUCCACACAUGCACACGUGCACACACACGCACAUGCUCGCACACAUGCACAGAUACACUCACGUCCACACACGCUCAAACAUGCGUGCACACCCGGAGGUGCCCAGAGGGGCAGGGUGGGGAGGACC